GGGAAGGAGAGCAAGAGACAUAAGAAGGCAUCACUAUAUUCAAAGAGGAAGGUCAGCAGAUGGCUUACACUUAAAUGGAACAAGCCGACCUGGAGUACCACAUCUGGGAGCAAGACACGCAGUGGCAAUCGUAUUUCUUCACUAAAGCUAUGCUAACUCAAUGCAAGAAGAAGUAUAACAGAUACAGAAAAUAUUAACGUCACAAUUUAAAAACACAUGCAGUGGUUUCCUAUGAGAAACAUGAUUUGAAGUUACGCAAUCAGCUUUUAAUACAGAAUAAAAGUUCUGAGCAAAUCCAAUGAUAAACGUCAAAAGACUAUUUGUAGAUUUUCUGUUGCAGGCAUUAAGACUUGUACCAGUGUACAGAAGUGAGACUCAGCACCUUCCCUUAUAUUUAAUAUAAAGCAAAAAAAAACAUGAAACAGUUCUUUGUAGAUUUCCAUUCUGAGCAUCAGAACUGGUGCUAGUGAUCACCUCUCAAAUUCCGGAAGUUUUUAAAUAUUAGAAAGUUAAUAGAGCAACAGUUUCUGUACCAGUUUGUAUUUUCUGAAGAAUAAGAAAUAUGAACUUAAUGUUUUGAAUCAGGGGCAAAUUGUAAUUGUUAGUUAAAUUAACAGAGUGUUAAUAGACCAACAGGUUCUCAUCAGUACACAUUUCUGAAGAAUAACAAGAAAGAAAGUAAAGGUUUUCUUCUGGGAUUUUUUUAAAUAUUAUUCAGUUUCACACAGAAUGUUACUAGAAUGGUAAUUUCUGCAGUAUCAAAAAAUAUGAACUAAUAUUUUUCAUUAUUUCAUGACUUUAUUAAUUUUUGGUGGUUGUAAUCUCUGAAUUCCAUACUAUUUUGCACUAUGCACAAUUUUGACAGGUCAUGUGCACAGCUUGUAAUGGACUCUCAAAUGUCAGCCACUGAAACCAUGACCCAUUCUGAGUAAAACCCAUUGAGUGGUACUUUGAUAAAUAACCAAAAAAAAGAAUUUUGUCGGGAUCGGUGAUCAGUAGCUUCCUCUUAUGUACAUACCAGUAAAAUGCUAUAAACUGUACUUACACAUUUUAUUCAUAGGAUCAUAGGAGCUUACUAAGCUAAAAGCCCUGGGGGCCUUACAAGCCUAGCAAAGAGUUUAUAAUGGCCCUGGGGCCCUUACAAGCAUAGCCAAGAGUUUAUCCCCAAAAAGAAACUUCAGUCAGAACCUGUUGUCCCUGUCAAUGAGGGUGAGAGGUGAAAUCCCUGGGACAAACUUGUGGUUUCCCAUUCCCUCAUCAAGGGUGCACUUAAAGAGGGUCAGCGAGGUGUUCUGUUUGACGUGUAUGGGAAGUCUAUUCUAAAGUUGGGGCAGCCUCUGGGGACAAACCUUAUUGAUCUUAUCAUCCAUAUUUAGAGUGCCAAAUAUGUUAUCUACGUUGUCAGUCCAGCAAUACACAGAUGUCUGUCAAGGGCGAUUAUAUCCAACCUCACACUACUGGUGAUACGUUACGGGAAGGGGUAGUACAACUGUUUGUUUUUUUCCUGCUUAUGUGGAAGAAAAUAUUUUGGUUUAUCUGUAUCUGUGGACUUACAAAAUACAGCUGUUCUAAUCUUGUGAGAUUUCUGUAAGUACUGUUUAUGUAUUUUGCCAGCUGCUGUGACACACCUGGUCUCUAAUGGAAUGCUAAAUGUGAAUAUAAAGAAACAAUACUUUGAAUUGAACUGUAAGCAAUCUGCAGAGCAGUAUCCUGAAAAGAUUGUAUACUUUUGACUAGACACCAAACUUUUUUGGUUACUGUAGUUCCCCCCUGUUUUAACUUUAAUUAUUGUAAAUAAAUAUGAUUUUUAAAAGGAAA